UACGUAGGUGGCAAGCGUUGUCCGGAUUUACUGGGCGUAAAGAGCGCGCAGGCGGUCGUUCAAGUCGCGUGUGAAAGCCCCCGGCUCAACUGGGGAGGGUCACGCGAUACUGAUCGACUCGAAGGCAGGAGAGGGAAGUGGAAUUCCCGGUGUAGUGGUGAAAUGCGUAGAUAUCAGGAGGAACACCGGUGGCGAAGGCGGGUCUCUGGGCCGAUACUGACGCUGAGGCACGAAAGCCAGGGGAGCAAACGGG
rnacentral:rRNA from 1 species